UGACGAGGGCUCUGGUUCCAACUGUCCAGGAACUCGCGAUGUCCCUUGGCCCACCUUUGCCCAUGCAGCCGCUGAGGCCCAGACUCCAGGGACCUCAGACUUAACAGAGCAGAGCUUUUCAGCCAAGUCUGGACCCCAUUUCCCUGCAAAGAUCACCUCCAGCAGAUGACAGGCCAAGUGAGGAUGGUCACUCCAGGUGCCUGUGUCUGAACUGGGGCUCUUGGCCCAGGUGGACUCCUCCUGGAGAUGGGACGUGGACACUGCCUCACCAGGACUGGGCAGCUGGGAGGGGGCCUGCAGCCCCUCUCCUGCCUUCUGUCACAAGUGGGGUGGUGGCUGAGGGAAGGUUUGCUCCUGGCUGACUGAGCCAGGCCCCCAUUUCUCCUUCCCCAGCUGCCACCUGGGGUACAGCACACUGAGACCAGGUGUCUCGAGAACAAGGAAGUGCCAGGGGUGGACUACUGGGGCAAAGUGGGAGACCGACUCACAUCUGGGCACCGAACGCCGUGACAGAGAAGGCCAGGCUCAGAGCGGGGGGGCCUCACCUGACCCUAGGCCGUGGGGCCCCGGCACCUUGUAGCUCUCCAUGGGGGCCCUUGGGCGGGGCUGGGGGCUUCUGGUUAGAAAGAGGGUCUUUAGCUCCUUCCUGAGUCCCCUGGGUGGGGCAGACAGAAUGGCUGGG
rnacentral:lncRNA from 1 species